GGAGGGGGUAUAGUUCAAUGAUAGAGUGUUCGUUUCACAUGUGAAAGAUCUGGGGUUCAAAUCCCCUCUCCUCCA